UACGUAGGGGCAAGCGUUGUCCGGAUUUAUUGGGCGUAAAGAGCGUGUAGGCGGCCAGGUAAGGUCCGUUGUGAAAACUCGAGGCUCAACCUCGAGACGUCGGCGGAAACCCUCUGGCUAGAGUCCGGAAGAGGAGAGUGGAAUUCCUGGUGUAGCGGUGAAAUGCGCAGGUAUCAGGAAGAAACACCCGUGGCGAAGGCGGCUCUCGUGGGACGGUACUGGACGCAUGACGAGGCGGAAAAGCGGUGGGGAAGAC
rnacentral:rRNA from 1 species